CCACGUGACUUCCUCCCUCCCCCACCCCACUCCCCAGCGCCCCUCUCCGCCCCGCCUCCCUCCUAGGUGGAGGAAGAUGAUUCCCCCCCCAUCUUGACCGCCCCCUGCCUUCGCCGCCAAGCACGGACUCCGUCGCUUCUGCCGACCCGGUAUCAGUGGUUGGAUCCAAGGGAAUUCCGGAACCCAAACCGUCCAUUACCGCGGCUCCGGGGCUGUCGGGAAGAAGGUCCGUGAUCUGGGUUGCCACCAGGAGGUCAACCGUGAAACAGUUGUUCAAAAGAAUGAAGCACCUCUGGGACUUCCCCAGUGGCACAGUGGGUAAGAAUCCUCCUGCCAAUGCAGGGGACAUGGGUUUGAUCCCUGGUCCAGGAAGAUCCUACAUGCCAUGGAGCAACUAAGCCCGUGUGCCACAGCUACUGAAGUCCGUGUGCCUAUAGCCCGUGCUCCACAACAAGAGAAGCCACCAUAAGGAGAAGCCCGCACACCGCAACAAAGAGUAGCCCCCGGUCGCCACAACUAGAGAAAGGCUGCACGCAGCAACGAAGACCCAACACAGCCAAAAUAAGUAAAUAAAAUUUAAAAAAAAAUAGAA